GGCAUUCUUCCUGGGUCUUACCAUUAUCUGCAUAUUGCCAAGCCUGCCAUUCCAACUCCCUUGGAGGUACAAAUGGUACAGCCUAAUUAUGGUUUAGAAAUAGUAACCGGUAGUGCGAAAAAUGGGACUUACUUCCGAAUUCAUAUUAACGAGUAUAAAAUGGUGGAAACCAUCACAUGCCUUUCUAGGGAGCCCUUCCCCGCCUCCAACUACAUCCGCUUGUUUGGCCAGCACGAGCAACUCCUCAACAACCUGUGUGCUCGGUAUGAUGAAAACCUGAUCACAGAUCUCUAUAGUCGCAUGGUGGUCUUCCAGCAGAAACAGUUACCAAGAAAUGGGAACUACCCUCAGAGUUCUGGCAUCUUCCUUCUGUGGCCUCUCGAGAACAGAGGAGAUCAUUAGAGGGUCCUCGUGUUGCCUAGCAACCUGUGAAUGCUGUUUGCUAUCAUGUUAUUAAUAUGAUA
rnacentral:sRNA from 1 species